rnacentral:rRNA from 1 species
CACGUAGGGGACGAGCGUUGUCCGGAUUCAUUGGGCGUAAAGCGCGCGUAGGCGGCUCGGAAAGUCGGUCGUGAAAUGCCGGGGCUCAACCCCGGGACUGCGUCCGAUACUCCCGAGCUGGAGGCAGGUAGGGGAGAUCGGAAUUCCUGGUGUAGCGGUGAAAUGCGCAGAUAUCAGGAGGAACACCGGUGGCGAAGGCGGGUCUCUGGGCUAACACUGACGCUCAUGCACGAAAGCGUGGGGAGCAAACAGG